GGGGGCGAGCCGGUUAUGAGGUAGGGGUACGAAGCACACACAGCAAGACGAAUCAAGUUCAAGGAGAGUCGAAUUUGUGGGCAACAACAAAUUGGCAGAAAUGUUACUCAAAAAUGAUAUAAACAUGCUUUGUUUAAAGACUGCAAUCUAUAUGUAUAUGAGUGUGUGUGUGUGUGUGUGUGUGUGUGUGUGUGUGUGAUAUACUGUAAAAUAAAACAAUGUUCGAUUAGCACAGACAAAAUCACAAAAACAACUACAAAUGCAGUUCUCAAUAAGCUUUGAUGUGACUCGACCAAAUGGGCAAGGGGAUUUUCGGGUAACUUAAACUGUGAUCAAUCCGAAAUGUGAACAAAAUGCAUACAAUAUGUGGACGGAUAUGCGCAAGUAUACAAGUAGAUAUUGGAUAUGGAUGAAGCCAAAUCAAGUUGAAUUGAAAACCAAAUAAAUAUUUACAUUGAACCCACUGAAAGCUCAACCGGAAUCGAAGGAUAGUUCCUUGUAUGUCACUCAACCGUAACGCAUUGUAUUUUAUCUUGAAGUUAUCUUUUUUCUUCUUUUUCUAGGUAGAUGAUUUUGUAAAACUUUCUAAAUGUUGACUUUAAGUGUACGUUUUGUAUUCGGUUGCUGUAUGCUAUUUAAUUUUUGUUACAUUAUAUAUAUAUAUAUUUUUUUUUGUGGGUUUAUACAUUUCUCGAAAACAGUAAAAUCGCUCCAAAACUUGUUUCUGGUUAGCUACUAAAGUUUGUUGCAUUUGUAAUCCAUAUUUAAGAAUUAUAUUGAUUUACUGAUAUCUCUAUCAUA